UCCUCCCUCUUUCUUCGUGCUUAACACAUGCAAGUCGAACGGUGAAGCGCCUUCCUUUUUGGUGGGUGUGGAUGAGUGGCGAACGGGUGAGUAACACGUGAGUAACCUGCCCCCUUCUUCUGGAUAACCGCAUGAAAGUGUGGCUAAUACGGGAUAUUCUGGGUCUGUCGCAUGAUGGGUCUGGGACAGAUAUUGUUUCGGUGGGGGAUGGGCUCGCGGCCUAUCAGCUUGUUGGUGGGGUGAUGGCCUACCCAGGCGGUGACGGGUAGCCGGCCUGAGAGGGUGGACGGUCACACUGGGACUGAGACACGGUCCAGACUCCUACGGGAGGCAGCAGUGGGGAAUAUCGCACAGUGGGCGCAAGCCUGAUGCAGCGACGCCGCGUGAGGGAUGGAGGCCUGCGGGUUGUGAACCUCUUUCGCCAGUGAAGCAGGCCUGCCUCGUUUGUGGGUGGGUUGACGGUAGCUGGAGAAGAAGCGCCGGCUAACUACGUG
rnacentral:rRNA from 1 species